AAUACGAACGAUUAUUUUUAAUCCUAUCUCGAGUAAGGACGAGUGCGUCCUACGUAUUUUGUUAGGAAAAGUUUGUUGAAAUUGACGGCAAGUCAAUUAAAACACAAGGUGACAGCAGCCUUACAAGGGAGUUACAGAGGCUAGACAGCAUAACAAAGUCUCCAAUCUACGCACAAUUCUCAGAGAGUCUUAAUGGACUGUCAACUAUAUGUGCUUACAGGCGUCUAACAGUCUGAAUUGGUUCAUCCAUCAAUCCUGUGUUCUUGAGAUGAGAAUGAAUGCUAUAGAGAGAAUCAAAUACUACAGCAACAUUGUGACUGAACACUAUA